rnacentral:rRNA from 1 species
UACGUAGGGGGCUAGCGUUGUCCGGAAUCAUUGGGCGUAAAGAGCGUGUAGGCGGCUCGAUAAGUCCGCUGUGAAAGUCCAGGGCUCAACCCUGGGAUGCCGGUGGAUACUGUCGGGCUCGAGUCCGGAAGAGGCGAGUGGAAUUCCUGGUGUAGCGGUGAAAUGCGCAGAUAUCAGGAAGAACACCCGUGGCGAAGGCGGCUCUCUGGGACGGUACUGACGCUGAGACGCGAAAGCGUGGGGAGCAAACAGG